UACGUAGGUGGCAAGCGUUGUCCGGAUUUAUUGGGCGUAAAGCGAGCGCAGGCGGUUCCUUAAGUCUGAUGUGAAAGCCCACGGCUCAACCGUGGAAGGUCAUUGGAAACUGGGGAACUUGAGUGCAGAAGAGGAGAGUGGAAUUCCAUGUGUAGCGGUGAAAUGCGUAGAUAUUCGGAGGAACACCAGUGGCGAAGGCGGCUUGCUGGGCUCUAACUGACGCUGAGGCCCGAAAGCGUGGGGAGCAAACAGGAUUAGAUACCCU
rnacentral:rRNA from 1 species